UACGGAGGAUGCGAGCGUUAUCCGGAUUUAUUGGGUUUAAAGGGUGCGUAGGCGGUUUGAUAAGUUAGAGGUGAAAUGUCGGGGCUCAACCCCGAAACUGCCUCUAAUACUGUUGGACUAGAGAAUAGUUGCGGUAGGCGGAAUAAGUUAAGUAGCGGUGAAAUGCAUAGAUAUAACUUAGAACACCGAUAGCGAAGGCAGCUUACCAGACUGAGUUUGACGCUGAUGCACGAGAGCAUGGGUAGCGAACAGG
rnacentral:rRNA from 1 species